AUGACGACACUCCGAUGCAGUAGCCCAGGACAGUGGUCCAUGGCGGGUAGUGGUAACUGAACAACCUGACCUCUGGAGGGAAGGCCAGGAAACUGAUGAUGAUGAACUGCACAAAGGAAUGGGAACAAUAGCAGAGAUAUUGUACAUGAGCCUCACAAGCAGAAAGCAGGGGCAGAUGGCCACCCAGCACACCCUCCAGAAACCACCCGGGUAGAAACCAAGCAUGAGCUGGAUGUCAUCACAGAAACGUUUCUCCCAGUCAGGUUUGAGAUAGAAGACCACACCCCUCCAGGCCCCUGGCAGAGUGGCUCCACGGAUGAGCAACACAAAGAGGACCAGCAAAUUUUCUACCCAUGAUGAUGAACGAUAGUGAGGGCGAAGAGAUGACAGGAGAACCAGCAUCUUUCUCUCUGCCUCUCUGGCUCCAUCAAUCCAUCCAUCCAUCCAUUCACUCUAACUGACACUCCC